rnacentral:rRNA from 1 species
AGGGAAUCUUUCGCAAUGGACGAAAGUCUGACGGAGCAACGCCGCGUGAGCGAUGAAGGUCUUCGGAUCGUAAAGCUCUGUUGUUAGGGAAGAACAAGUGCCGGAGUAACUGUCGGCACCUUGACGGUACCUAACCAGAAAGCCACGGCUAACUACGUGCCAGCAGCCGCGGUAAUACGUAGGUGGCAAGCGUUGUCCGGAAUUAUUGGGCGUAAAGCGCGCGCAGGCGGUCCUUUAAGUCUGAUGUGAAAUCUUGCGGCUCAACCGCAAGCGGUCAUUGGAAACUGGGGGACUUGAGUGCAGGAGAGGAAAGCGGAAUUCCAUGUGUAGCGGUGAAAUGCGUAGAGAUAUGGAGGAACACCAGUGGCGAAGGCGGCUUUCUGGCCUGUAACUGACGCUGAGGCGCGAAAGCGUGGGGAGCAAAC